rnacentral:rRNA from 1 species
UACGGGGGGAGCAAGCGUUGUUCGGAUUUACUGGGUGUAAAGGGCGCGUAGGCGGUCGUGACAAGUCACUUGUGAAAUCUCCGGGCUUAACUCGGAACGGUCAAGUGAUACUGUCGGACUAGAGUACAGAAGGGGCAACUGGAAUUCUCGGUGUAGCGGUGAAAUGCGUAGAUAUCGAGAGGAACACCUGCGGCGAAGGCGGGUUGCUGGGCUGAUACUGACGCUGAGGCGCGAAAGCCAGGGGAGCGAACGGGAUUAGAACCUACCAGCA